AAUCUGUGCAUGCUUGGAAACAGGAAGCUCUGAAUUUAAACUGUACAUCACAUUCAGCUAUCUUCUUUUGAAAUGUCUCCUCAGGAAGGAGCUGAAGGAAGACACCUCCACCAAAGGAUCUUCAGUUUUGGGAUGUGUUUCUCUGUCAAUCCACUGGAGCUGGAAGUCACUGGCCUCCAGAUCACUCUGGUUUUUACCUACUUGCAUACUUUGUAUUAUCCAAGAGAAAUAUCCAUUUUGUUUUGACUGGAGAGAGUGGAGUAUCUAAAUCCUGUUUGAAGUUGUAUACUUAUUACAC
rnacentral:lncRNA from 12 species